rnacentral:rRNA from 1 species
AUACGUAGGUGGCAAGCGUUGUCCGGAAUUAUUGGGCGUAAAGCGCGCGCAGGUGGUUCCUUAAGUCUGAUGUGAAAGCCCACGGCUCAACCGUGGAGGGUCAUUGGAAACUGGGGAACUUGAGUGCAGAAGAGGAAAGUGGAAUUCCAAGUGUAGCGGUGAAAUGCGUAGAGAUUUGGAGGAACACCAGUGGCGGAGGCGACUUUCUGGUCUGUAACUGACACUGAGGCGCGAAAGCGUGGGGAGCAAACAGGAUUAGAUACCCUGGUAGUCCACGCCGUAAACGAUGAGUGCUAAGUGUUAGAGGGUUUCCGCCCUUUAGUGCUGCAGCUAACGCAUUAAGCACUCCGCCUGGGGAGUACGGCCGCAAGGCUGAAACUCAAAGGAAUUGGCGGGG